GGUAUAUAUUGGGACCUAUAGAUCAUUGGAUCACUUGAAACUUGACUUGCAUGUUACUUAAGCAAGUAUAUAUGCGACACUAAUGCAAGCAUGUGGGUGGUUGUUGAUCAUAGCUGAUAUGUUGCUAUCAUCGUUUCCUAUAACAGACUAGGCAUCGACGUAUUGUGCCACUAACAUUAUUCUAUUCUUGCCUCUUUCUCGUACAAUACUUUGAAGAUAAAUUACAAGUAUAAUUCAACAACUUUAGCUCUUAGGUAUACAUAUAAACGACCUUGAAAGCUAUCCACUCACCAACACUCUAUAAAUUAAUGACCUAGCAAUAUCUGGGACAUUAUUUUGCUAACUUGAAUUAAUUAAACAAGUUAAGCAUAAAUGAUAUAUAAGGGAGUAUUUUCGUACUCUUAGCAAAUCAGGAAUAUUCGAGCCAAGCCCAUGAUUAACAAUUUGACCAUAAAAUAAUAAUAAUAAAGCACGUAGUAGUAGUAUAUCUAGAAAUUGAUGAAACGUUACUUGUAUAUAUCUUGUUAUAACGGAUGUAAAGAAAGAUUAACUAACGUAAUUAAAGAACGCAGAGAUUUAACGUGGUUCACUAACAAUGUGUUAGCUACGUCCACAUGCAGAGAGGAUGAAAGUUUUAUUGAUUUUGAGGAGUACGGAUUACAGAAUAUCAACUAGGUUAUGACCCAAAGAGUUUAUAUAGUACUCUCUAGACAGAUGCGGAAAAACCCAGAAAAUAGGCCCAAAACAGAUAACCCUAGUCCAGAAUAACAUAUACCGUAAAGUAAGGAGUUUGACCGAUUCAAGGCAUUAUUCUAACAUAUCUGCUAACAAAAAACUUAGAGGGUAGUGUCUUAUAAGUCCGAGUUUUGGAUUAAUUAGUCAUGACAACCAAUAACUACACUAGUACACAUUCUUUUCAUUCACUAAAGGAGGUUGAGAAGUUAAUGAAGCUAGGACCCCAUUCUUGAGUAGAUUGAUUGAAAAGUUUAAGCUCAAGGUGCAAAGUAAGAAAUGCAAAGUGAAAUAGAGAUGACAAACUUGUGAUAUUGAUACCUAGCUAGAGAGAGGGAGAGAUAGAAAUUAUUCUUAUGGACCAUCUUUCAUUAAUUACUAGGAAAAUAAAAUUAUGAUCGACAUAAUUUUCAUAUAUUGAGAUAAAGAGAAAAUUAUGUAGCUGUCAAUAUGCUUGUCACAAGGUUGAUCCAAAUAUGGCCACCCCAUCCCCACCAUGUGUUGUCCUCUAAUUGUAACUAUGGUUGCUUAAUUGCCUAAAACACAAUAAAUGUUCUUAUUUUUGUCUAAAAUUUAAAGGGAAUUUUUCUUUUGUAGAGUUAGUGCCUAGUGGAGUAGAAUCCCAAUUCCACUUGAGAAAAGGUGACCCCUUUUAUAAACCUUUUGUUACCAUUUCUAAUAUAUGGUUUUAUCUAAAUAAAAGCAAAAAGAAAAAAGAAAGAAUAAAAGUAAAAGAAGAAAGUAAGAAGAAAGAACAUGUAAAGGGUACUAGUUGACUAUCUUUGGCAAAUAAAAAAAAGUUAAGAAUAAGUCAUAAGCUAAGGAGGAAAUUAUGGAGUAUUUGUUUAAUUUUUCAUAUAUAAACUAAAAUAAAUAAAUUUGGUGGAAAGAAACAUUAGUUUAGUUCCUUAGUAUUCAUCUCAUCUUAAACCUUCACAAGAUGACAAACCAAAAGUUAAGGAUAAUGACUAAUUGUAUGAUUAGCUGUCUUUGUUAGUACUAUAAUACAUUAAUACUGUUUUGCUAAUCGACAAAUUAAAAUACGAACAAGCUAGCUAGAUUACAAGUUUUAUGCAAUGCUAAUUGGAUUACAUAUACUCAUUCUCACAAUUAUAUUGUAUUUCCCAUCACAAAAAAAGCUGGUCAUAAUUUCUCCUUAUUAAGGGCAUGUUUGGUAUGAAGAAUUUUGGAGCUGAAAACGGAAUUAAGUAACCGUUUACGUUACUAGUUGUUUGGUGUACGUAUUUGGUAACUGUUACCGUUUAUUAAGGGUAACUAAAUCCGUUACUUUAUUUCUGCUCUAAAACCUGCAGUAACCCUUACCUUUCCCCUCAAAUUUCUCUUUGUUCUCUUGCCGCCUCCAUCUCUCUCCCUCUCCUCUCUCCUCUUCCCCUCUCUUUGUUGAAUUUCGAUCCGAUCUCAAGCUUCAUCUUCGUCGAUUUUCCGAUCAACAUUGGGUUCUUCGGCAAUUUCUUUCACAACGGAUGGAUGUGGAUGUUGAGUCGUUGACAAUUGACAGUUCAUAUGGAUUAUACAGCUUGUGAGUAGUUGUUACCAACAGGGCUGUACUUUAGCUUGUUUUAAGGAUUACUUGGAUAUACAACUUGUUUUAUAACAGCAGCAACAAUAGUAUUUUUAUGCCAAGCAGCAUUAUUUUUAUAACCAGCAACAGUACUUUGUUAUCUUUUCUAUUGUACAUGUAUGAUGUAGAAUAUACACUACAAAAUUUAUUACUUUCCUUGUUACUUACCAAA